UACGGGGGGGGCAAGCGUUGUUCGGAAUUACUGGGCGUAAAGGGCUCGUAGGUGGCCAACUAAGUCAGACGUGAAAUCCCUCGGCUUAACCGGGGAACUGCGUCUGAUACUGGAUGGCUUGAGUUCGGGAGAGGGAUGCGGAAUUCCAGGUGUAGCGGUGAAAUGCGUAGAGAUCAGCAGGAACACCCGUGGCGAAGGCGGCCCCCUGGGCCGUACCUGACGCUGAGGCGCGAAGGCUAGGGGAGCGAACGGG
rnacentral:rRNA from 1 species